GAUGAACGCUGACAGAAUGCUUAACACAUGCAAGUCUUUGGCAAAGCUGUGCUUGCACAGCCUAGCCAAGUCGGACGGGUGAGUAACGCGUAAGGAACUUGCCCUGCAGUCAGGGAUAACAGACGGAAACGACUGAUAAGACCUGGUAAAGUCAGACGGACUCAUGUCCAGCCUGAUGAAAAGAGAUGCUGCAGGAGAGCCUUGCGUCCUAUUAGCUUGUUGGUGGGGUAACGGCCCAACAAGGCGAUGAUAGGUAGCCGGCCUGAGAGGGUGGACGGCCACAAGGGGACUGAGAUACGGCACUUACUCCUACGGGAGGCAGCAGUGGGGAAUAUUGGACAAUGGGGGCAACCCUGAUCCAGCAAUUCUGUGUGCACGAUGAAGGUUUUCGGAUUGUAAAGUGCUUUCAGCAGGGAAGAAAAAAAUGACGGUACCUGCAGAAGAAGCGACGGCUAAAUACGUG
rnacentral:rRNA from 1 species